GUUACCUUGUUACCUGUUUACCUUGUUACCGUGUCACCUUGUCACAUUGUUACGUUCACACGUCGGACCGCGCAAAGAGAAAAAUAAAGACCACAGCCGUUAAAAGUUACCUACAAACAUGACAAUUUUAUUGAACUUUUUCAUUGAACUUUUCAUAUAUAUAUAUUUUCAUUUUUUUGCCUGGAUCAGUUACAGAAACAAAGUGAGUUCACCAUUUUUUUCUUCUUCGUCUAAUCCGGGGGGAACGAGUUCUAUACAUAGGCAUGCUGUGUCACUGCACUCACUGUCACAGCUGUGGAAACUAGCAUCACCUCCGUCAGCUGCCGCACCCUCCACCCAGCACCCCCUCCUGUCAUACAGGGCAGUCUGAUGGCAGGGUGAUCCCUGACCAUGGGUGGGGAGCAGGGACUAACCUAGUCAGACCUACAGGUAGGAUAGGGAGGUCAACAGGACCGGGGAACGAUGAAUGUAACACUUAAGAGAACUGUUGUGCAAAUCUCACAAAUCUCACCAUAGUAUGUUGUUGUUGUUUUUGUUUUUUUGUUUUUUUUCCACUCACAGCCUAAGUUAAUAUUGUCUCUUCGUCGUUCUACCCCCCACUCUGCUGCCUUCAGUCGUCGGUUCCGGCGACGAGAGUCAACCGACCGGCGAUAACCCAAUUCCCCUCGGCCGCCUGAUUCCAUUUCCUUUUUUUUAAAAACAAAUCUGAAAUCUUGGCAUCCUUUUUGUUUAUGUUCAGGAAAAGACGCACACACAUUUAUAGAUAUAUAUUGAACGGUGUGAUCUCGUAUACACUGAAGAUAUGAUUGUAGUCACAAAGCCUUUUUGACAUAAAUAGGAUCGGUAUUCGACAGCAUGGCCUGAGAAAAAGGGCUUCACAUGUAGAAGUGGUGAAUGGGCAUGCACAGAUAGGUAGUCAACGAGUGCAAAAGAUCUACAAAGUCACGGUAUCGUAGUAUUAUUUUUCUUCUUUCGUGUACUCCACGUUUGAGUGAAAACAUCACAAUAUGUUGGAUAAACCCUCCUCCAGUGUUUUCUGAGCCGUCAAACGGAAAUCUCCUCUCUGUCCGACCGGUUUCCAUUCCCCCGAAUCCCCGACCCGUUCUGGGGGCCCCCCAGAGAAGACCGGGCCCCAGACCCUAGUUCUGACCCUGUACGGCCCCAAAUGGAGAGCUUGGGACGGGCUUGUGUUGGGGUACGAAGCAGAGCCCCCCCCCCCGGGGAGGACCCCAUCGAUGACACACACAAUACUGUAGGCUGAAUGCCCUCCCUGGUCCCCCAGUUCGGAGGGGUGUAGGGGGGGGGUGGGGUCCGCUGUUAGGAGCAUAGGGCAAAGGUCAAGGGUCGUUGACCUUCGCGGCCCUCAUUAUAUUACAGACUGUGCCGUUGCCGGCAGCACAGAGUUUGUGGAGCAUCACGGUUUAUAGAAGAAAGAAAGAACAUUAGAUGUUACAUCGACAGAACACUGUAGUCACGACGGAUCAUCAUGGGACUGCACUGGGGUGAAACAAUAUUUUAGCAAAAAUAAAAACCCGAUCGGAACCUCCCAAGUCAUCUUUUCUUGACGGUUAAACACAGUCAAAAUUAAAAUCAUGUCCAAUCAUUUCCAAAAAAAUACCCAAAAUAAAAUGAAUUCAAAUCAGUAAAAAGAAAAAGACACAAGAGAAGAGAAAAUUCAAUGUGAACAGGCAAAAUGUCUGAAUGCAAAGCAAUCCAACGAAAGCAGUAGUGAGGACGUACAGUGUUGUGUUGGUGUCACCGCUGAAAACUAAACUUAAUCUACACAUUAAUAAAAAAAAAAAGUCAGUUAGGUGUAUAGCACGCUUUCUGUACACAGUUCUGUACACAGACUGUCACCCAGCUAGUGGACUGGGAAGGAUGGGAGGAGGGGAAAUGGGAGACUCUAGUGAAACCAGAGUCUUUCUUGGCACGGAGACGCGCUGGCGCGGGGAAUUCUACUUUCUGUUGUUUUCCCCGUAGAAACAGACAGGGGGGGGCUUCUUUACUUCAGGAAGUAACACACGCACGCACAUGCACACAUACGCACACACAGAACCAUACAUGUGAAUACGCACACUCACUCACUCUCAUCCCACACGUGUAAGGGCAUUCACUACCUUCCUCUCACUCUUGACACACAUAAAAACGACACUAUACCAGCUCUUGUCAACACACACACGCACACUGCCAAUGUCACAGGAGAAGCACUGAGGCUAACCUCCGGUCACUGUACUCCUCCCAGCUGUCCUUCUCCUCUUCCUCGCCUUUAAGAACAGUCACAUCUGAUCUGCCCUCAGUCCACCUCUCCCUGUACAACCGGAGCCCACUCAGGCUCCGGUAAAUGGAGACCGCAAGGAGUCACCAGGCCUCUCGCUCUCGCUCUGCCCCCCUCUCUCUCUCUCUCUCUCUGUCUCGAUGUCCUUCAACCAUACUUAAUGGGCGGCUCUAAGUUCGGCCAGAGUGUGUGUGCGUGUGUGUGUGUGCGUGCGUGCGUGUGCAUGCGUGUGAGAGUGAACGGCCCGUCAGCAUGUCUCCACGUCCCGCUGCGAAGGAGGAGAUGAAUGUAGCACCAAAUAAAGCCGACCCUGACUGUGAACCCCCCUCUCCAGCCCUCCCUCACCCCCCCCCCUCAAAGACACUGUAAGAAUCAUCCAAUCUCCCCAUUAGAUCUCCUUUCCUGCCACACCCCCUCCCCAUCGGCUCAUGUGGGCAGGCCCCGCCGUGCAGACGACCCUGGUUCCUUCAGAGCUCGUCGGCUGAUGCGAGGCGACGGCCUCCCCGGGCUGCUCCAGACAGCCAAUGGCCACCGGAGAUGUGGGGUGGGGGUGGGGGGGGGGGGGGAGAGAAGAGCUCCAUGCCUCUAUUCUCACAGCAGUCUGACCUAGAUUCACAAAAGAGCCACUGACUGACACCUCUCUCGUCCAAUCAGAACCCCGUCCCGACGCAGGCGUCACUGAUGUAUCGGAGAGGCAGGUGAUUGAUUGUUGUUUUUGUACUCGCUGAGAGAAGUGUCAGGUUUAGAGGAGGGUGUGUGUGUGUGUGUGUGUGAGGAUGAUUGCCGGUUAUAACAUAUUGGACCGAGCACAGAGUCUAAGUGUGACGGUUGUCCAAAGUAGAGAUGAAGGGGUAUGAACACAUAAUAAGCACUCACUCUCAGUCAGAAACACACACACACGCAUAACACACACACACACACACACACACACACACACACACACACACACACACACACACACACACACACACACACACACACACACACACACACACACACACACACACACACACACACACACACACAGCUGUGCCCUGUGCGUACCCAAGCAGGAGUUGUGGUUGGAGGACAGAGCCAAAUUAUUCUGAUUCAUGCGCCAGCAUGUCAUGGGUCCCCAGAAAGGAUACUCACACUGUGGUAGCAAUCGAGAGAGAGAGAGAGAGAGAGAGAGAGAGAAAGAGAGAGAGUGCUAGGAGAGAGAGAGAGAGAGAUUUCACAGUUUUCGAUAGUGCUUACAGUGCGAUAGUCUCGGGGGAAGAGGCUAAUCUUUUCGGAGCCAAGUCGGCCUUAGAAUUUGUUUCAGGGUUUCAACCCUCUCUUUCUGGCUAUUUUUCGUGGAGCAGCCAAAAGGUGUUUUACAGGUGUGCUAUAGGUGAACUACAGGUGCCACUCAAGAGGAUGCGACCCCAGAUCUGACCCCGCCCACCCCAGGGUGACCUAGCUCUACCCACUCCACACACAUCAGGAGUUACUGGCGGUUGGCACACACAGCAAAUGUCAAUCCUGCGGACCAAGCACAGAAAGUAAAGGGUUCGGGGCAGUGUGUAAGGGGGGUUGGGGAUGGGUUAGGGCUGGUUGGUGUCCAUGAUUGAGUCCGUAACAACCGAAAAUCCCUCAAGGGUCUAGUCAUUCCUGCUUCUCCUCCUCCUCCUCCUCUGUCCGUUUCUCUCUCCUUUUGCUUCUUUCUUUCUCCCUCGACUUGUUCAGCUUCAUGCUCACCACAGCUGCCUCCCAGUGUAGGUUGGAUGGGCAGAAGGGACCUAGGGGAGAGAGAGGGAGAGAGAGAGAGAGAGAGAGGGAGAGA
ensembl:lncRNA